GGGCGUUUGGCGCAGUUGGUAGCGCAUCUGAACGACAUUCAGAGGGUCACAAGUUCGAGUCUUGUAACGCCCA
rfam:Acinetobacter sp. CAG:196 genomic scaffold, scf208